UAGCAUUAAUAAUUAUAGUCCAAUUAUGAAAAAAUUACUAUAGUAUGUUGUGCUGUAAUUUAAUAAAUGCUUUUGUGUAACUGCAAUAAUUUUCUUUUCUUUAUCAGUUUGAUUGUUAUUUUUGGUGCUUUCCUUUUUCUAAAUAAAUUACUCAUGUUGCUUGUGCACUCUUUCCAUGGUUAUCAAUCCUUGCAAUCAUAUAGGAUAACUAACGUAUUAUGGAACCAAGGAUCUCAAGUUUUACCGUUGGCACUGCAGAGCCUUAUUAGUGAGGGCUUUGCUGUGGAUAUACAUCCAGCUGCCAAAAUCGGUGAGGGAAUAUAGUUGGAUCAUGGAACAGGUCUAGUCAUUGGUGAAACUGCUAUAGUUAGAAAUUGGGUUUCAUUAAUGCAGGUGACUGUAGAAAUCUGCCCUCUUUUUUUCCCUUAA